GCCUGCUGCGCCCAUCUCCGCAGCCGCAGCCGGGCGACCCAGUGGCUUGUUCAGGGCGGUCUGUUUGCUGAUCGCAAACAAGGGCCCUGCCGGGGACGUCAGGGGAGCAGCUGCUGGGUGUCAGGGAAGCUUGAGUGCGGUUUGUAAAGUAAACGGACUCUAAUUUGGACAAAUACGGCCGGGGCCUGGGACCCGGGACCGAUAAAGCAGCUAGGAAGUGUUGACCUGGAGGGAACCAUGUCUCCAGGCCCCGGUGGGCAACGGGAGUGGCCCAGGAAUGUGCGGCAGUGCCUCGGCGGUCUGCUCCCUCCCGGCGGCGGGACAAUAGCCCACAGCCAUUUGACACCUCUGGCGUGAAACGUUCCAUUUGCAGAAACGGGCAGAGCUGGAAGGGGGUGGUGCUUGCUGGAGCUCGUGUUUGCCCAGGGAAAGUCAACGUCGUGAAGAUACGGAGUCUCCGCGGAAGGCCUCGCUGCAUCCGCGUGCUGAUAAGCGUGCGAGAAUGCUUAUUUCAUCAACCCGAGUGAGGGUCACCCAUCGGUGUGUUCUCCAGAGCCGCCCCCUGGCCGUGGGCCCCAAAGAAGGAAGUGGUCCCUGACAUGUGGCCAUCCGAUCUCAGUGGAAGCCCCUGGAAACACUGUCUCCCUCAUUCUCGAGAGGCCUCUGUGACCAGACACACGAACCUCGGGGAGUGGCCCAGCCGGUACGUGGUUCUGCACAAGUAUAUCCAGCAACCCUCAAUCAAGGUCAGAGCUGUGGAGCCAGCCGGUGGAACAGUAAGCGGGCUCUGGCGAUGGAGCUUCCUGGGGCUCCCUGGCUUUUCUCACAGACUAAACAGAGCCGAAGCCAGCGUGCAGCUUCAUGAAGACCCCAAAAGGUUCCAAGCUGGCGAGGCCCAGGCAGGCUGCCAGCUGCUGAUGGCUGGCUUCCCAAAAGGACUUGCUGGCACCUGCUGCAUGGGUGGGUAGCCCCUUCCCAGUGAGCCAGAGGAAACACGCCCAGGAGAGCUACCUGGAACACCUGGGCACAGCAGCUGCCAGCCCGGCUUCCCCAGCAUCCAGCUGUUUAUUAUAUCCUUAGCCUCGGGAAGUGUCUGAGAGGUCAUUUCCACUGGUGGAGGCAGUACGCAGCCAGGACCAGUGAUUGGGAGAGUGAUGGACAGCCCUGUUAACACUCGAAAUGAGUUUCAAGGACUGGAGGAAGAGGCAGGGGAAUGGUACUGCGAGUUGGACCUGCUGGGACGUGGCGAGUGUUGCACUUUCCCCUCCUGGCUGGCUCCAAAGCCAUUUCUUGAAAGGUUAUGCAAAUAUAAUUAGCCACCCGCAGGGCCAUCAGUAAUCUGUUGGGCACACCUGGCUUUGUCCCAGCUCAUUCUUAAUAACCACGAGUCUAUUCUCAGCUUCUAUAGGAGCCAUGUUUUAAAGUUCCACCCAUUAAUUACUUCCCAGUACAGUUUUGCUUUCUGAGGGUCCUGGGGAUCAAACCCAGGGCUUUGCAUAAUUACUCUGCAAUCAAGCUUCAUUCCCCAGUCUGA